rnacentral:rRNA from 1 species
UGGAGCUUGCUCCAGCAGGUUAGCGGCGGACGGGUGAGUAACACGUGGGCAACCUGCCUGUAAGACUGGGAUAACUCCGGGAAACCGGAGCUAAUACCGGAUAGUAUCUUGAACCGCAUGGUUCAAGUUGGAAAGACGGUUUCGGCUGUCACUUACAGAUGGGCCCGCGGCGCAUUAGCUAGUUGGUGAGGUAAUGGCUCACCAAGGCAACGAUGCGUAGCCGACCUGAGAGGGUGAUCGGCCACACUGGGACUGAGACACGGCCCAGACUCCUACGGGAGGCAGCAGUAGGGAAUCUUCCGCAAUGGACGAAAGUCUGACGGAGCAACGCCGCGUGAGUGAUGAAGGUUUUCGGAUCGUAAAACUCUGUUGUUAGGGAAGAACAAGUGCGAGAGUAACUGCUCGCACCUUG